UACGUAGGGUGCAAGCGUUGUCCGGAAUUAUUGGGCGUAAAGAGCUCGUAGGCGGUCUGUUGCGUCCGCUGUGAAAACUCGGGGCUUAACCCCGAGCCUGCAGUGGAUACGGGCAGACUAGAGGUAGGUAGGGGAGAAUGGAAUUCCCGGUGUAGCGGUGAAAUGCGCAGAUAUCGGGAGGAACACCGGUGGCGAAGGCGGUUCUCUGGGCCUUACCUGACGCUGAGGCGCGAGAGCGUGGGGAGCGAACCGG
rnacentral:rRNA from 1 species